rnacentral:rRNA from 1 species
CGGCCUUAGUGGCGCACGGGUGCGUAACGCGUGGGAAUCUGCCCCUUGGUUCGGAAUAACAGUUGGAAACGACUGCUAAUACCGGAUGAUGACGUAAGUCCAAAGAUUUAUCGCCGAGGGAUGAGCCCGCGUAGGAUUAGGUAGUUGGUGUGGUAAAGGCGCACCAAGCCGACGAUCCUUAGCUGGUCUGAGAGGAUGAUCAGCCACACUGGGACUGAGACACGGCCCAGACUCC